UCUGGUGGCUAUAGCGAAGAGGUCACACCCGUUCCCAUACCGAACAGGGAAGUUAAGCUCUUCAGCGCCGAUGGUAGUUGGGGGUUUACCCCUGUAUGAGUAGGACGUUGCCAGGC
rnacentral:rRNA from 2 species